GCGGCCGUAGUGCAUAUGGAGACAAUACUGGAGUAGCAAUCUGGAGAUCGCGGGUUCGAAUCCCGUCGCCCAUC
rnacentral:tRNA from 1 species